UACGAAGGGGGCUAGCGUUGUUCGGAAUCACUGGGCGUAAAGGGCGCGUAGGCGGAUCUUUAAGUCGGGGGUGAAAGCCUGAGGCUCAACCUCAGAAUUGCCUUCGAUACUGGAGAUCUUGAGACCGGAAGAGGUAAGUGGAACUGCGAGUGUAGAGGUGAAAUUCGUAGAUAUUCGCAAGAACGCCAGUGGCGAAGGCGACUUACUGGUCCGGUUCUGACGCUGAGGCGCGAAAGCGUGGGGAGCAAACGGG
rnacentral:rRNA from 1 species